AUUGAACGCUGGCGGCAGGCUUAACACAUGCAAGUCGAACGAGUGGCGAACGGGUGAGUAAUGUAUCGGAACGUGCCCAGUAGCGGGGGAUAACUACGCGAAACGUCGCUAAUACCGCAUACUAUUGGAGCGGCCGAUAUCGGAUGAGCUAGUUGGUGGGGUAACGGCUCACCAAGGCGACGGUCCGUAGCUGGUUUGAGAGGACGACCAGCCACACUGGGACUGGUGCACGGCCCAGGCUCCCGAGGGAGUGAGGAGUGGGGAAUUUUGUACAAUGGGGGAAACCCUGAUCCAGCCAUCCCGCGUGUGCGAUGAAAGCCUGCGGGUUGGAAAGCACUUUUGGCAGGAAAGCGGUACCUGCAGAAUAAGCACCGGCUAACUACGUGCCAGCAGCCGCGGUAAUAC
rnacentral:rRNA from 1 species